ACUCCUACGGGAGGCAGCAGUGGGGAAUUUUGGACAAUGGGGGAAACCCUGAUCCAGCCAUCCCCCGUGUGCGAUGAAGGCCUUCGGGUUGUAAAGCACUUUUGGCAGGAAAGAAACGUCAUGGGUUAAUACCCCGUGAAACUGACGGUACCCGCAGAAUAAGCACCGGCUAACUACGUGCCAGCAGCCGCGGUAAUACA
rnacentral:rRNA from 1 species